UGAUGAAUCCCCUUGUGUCUCACCAUGGCAAUUCUCUUCCUCCCUCUCUUCUUCUUCUUCGUCUUUUUCAACUCCAUUCUCUACUCUCACUCUUCCAACAACAACAUCAUCAUUCUUCAACCAACUCACCGACACCACCACACUUCUUCUUCUUCUUCUUCUUCUUCUUCUUCUUCUUCUUCUUCUUCUUGUCCAGCUCCUAACCCCAACCUCUACUACCAACCUGUCAUCGGAAUCGUCACCCACCCCGGUGACGGUGCUUCCGGCCGCCUCUCCAACUCCUCCGCCGUCUCCAACAUCCCCGCAUCCUACGUCAAAUUCGUCGAAGCUGGUGGAGCCAGAGUUAUUCCCCUUGUCUACAACGAGUCUCCCCAAAAACUUCUCAAGAAGCUGGAUUUGGUAAACGGGGUGCUCUUCACAGGUGGAUGGGCCAAGGAUGGUCAAUACUUUGAAACUGUUAGGAGAAUCUUUAAGAAAGUGUUGGAGAGAAAUGAUGGUGGAGAACAUUUCCCAUUAUAUGCCAUCUGCUUAGGUUUUGAACUCAUAACAAUGAUUGUAAGCGGGGACAAUAAUAUUCUUGAAGAAUUUAGUGCUUCAGAUCAGGCAAGUGCUCUUCAUUUUGUGGAGAAUGCAGAUAUCGAGGGAAGUUUAUUUCAAAGUUUUCCUCCAGACUUGUUGAAGAAGUUGAGUACAGAUUGUAUUGUUAUGCAAAAUCAUCACUUUGGUAUAUCCCCAGAAAAGCUUUUGAACAACAAGUUGUUGUCCAGUUUUUUUGAUGUCUUGACAACAUGUAAGGAUGAAGAUGAUAAGGUAUAUGUUUCCACAAUGCAAUCUCGCAACUAUCCUGUCACUGCCUUUCAAUGGCAUCCAGAGAAAAAUGCCUUUGAAUGGGGCUCAGCAAAUAUCCCACACACAGAGGAUGCCAUUCGGGUAACUCAUUCUACAGCAAGCUUCUUGGUCAGAUAUAAAAUCACUCAUGUUUCGGAGAAAUGGUUCAUGACACUGAUGCACUUGUCAACAUCCAAGUUAAUAUAUCAUUUUCGUUUGUGGACAUGGCUCCAGUGAAGCUAGGAAAUCCUCAAAAAGACCAGAUGCUCAAGAAGUGAGAGACAAUCUUAUUUACAAUUACAGUCCUAGUUAUGUUGGAAAAGCUGGAAAAGGAUAUGAUGAAGUUUAUCUCUUCAGAUAGUAAAAAACUAAAAAUGGAGGAGUCAAUGGAUGCUAUUUUGGGCCCUAUGUAUUAUCAUCACUAUAUGUUUCAGAAAUAAUACUUUUGUGCACAAAGGAGGAGAAACGACUCAGCUAUCCUCAUUAGCAUGUUGUAUUACAUAAUAUCUUUUAAUAAUGAUACCCCCAACCUUUGAAUUCUUACGUUAGAUAAUAUUAUACAUGAUAUCACUCGAUUUAUCAUUACUAGAUUUAAGCUUUAAAAUAAUCUUUGAAGUUGUACUUAAGUCUCAAAGUGAUUUCUGAAACUAAUAGUUACCCAAAUUUGUCUUUGACAUUGUACUCCGAGUUUUAUAGUAGUCCUUAAGGCACUUUUUGUCCAUCACUUGUCAUAAAAAAAUUGAGUUGGACUGAUUUCUGUCACUAUGACACUAUAACGGCUCGCUGAUGUGGCAAAA